UACGUAGGCAGCGAGCGUUGUUCGGAGUUACUGGGCGUAAAGGGUGUGUAGGCGGUUGUUUAAGUUUGGUGUGAAAUCUCCCGGCUCAACCGGGAGGGUGCGCCGAAUACUGAAUGACUAGAGUGUGGGAGAGGUGAGUGGAAUUCCUGGUGUAGCGGUGAAAUGCGUAGAUAUCGGGAGGAACACCAGUGGCGAAGGCGACUUCCUGGCCUGUUCUUGACGCUGAGGCGCGAAAGCUAGGGUAGCAAACGGG
rnacentral:rRNA from 1 species